rnacentral:rRNA from 1 species
UACGUAGGGUGCAAGCGUUGUCCGGAAUUAUUGGGCGUAAAGAGCUCGUAGGCGGUCUGUCGCGUCUGGUGUGAAAAUCCAGGGCUUAACCCUGGACCUGCAUCGGGUACGGGCAGACUAGAGUGCGGUAGGGGAGAUCGGAAUUCCUGGUGUAGCGGUGAAUGCGCAGAUAUCAGGAGGAACACCGGUGGCGAAGGCGGAUCUCUGGGCCGUAACUGACGCUGAGGAGCGAAAGCAUGGGGAGCGAACAGG